CAUCUUCUGCCAAUCCUCACAGCGCUCCGCGUCCUCGAUCCCGCGGCCCCGCCCGUGAUUUCCGGAAAGAUUCCACCCGAAUCAAGGCUUGUCAAGAAGAAUGGGUCAGUUCAAAAAGAAAAGAAAAACGGAUCGUAGCAAGCGCCGCCGCUCCUCCCGAUCGCCCCGAGCCGACCCCGCCUCCGGUCGCCGCCCACGCACCUGCAAGCCGCCGCCGCCGUCCUCUGCCGGGCUCCGCCGGACCGUCCCACGCGACUGCCGGCAUCCUCCUCCUCCCUUCUCUCUCCCUCUCCUCACUAAUCUCUCUUUCUCUCUCCAUUCCCGCACUGCAGGGCUCCGCCGGACCGUCCCACGCGACUGCCGGCCUCCUCCCGACCAGACCGACGAUGGCGACGACCGGAUCUGACCGGCCCCGAUCGUUCCCGCCUCGCCUAGCCGCACCACUCAUCCGUCCCACCUCUCCCAGCCAGCCCCGCCGCCCCCUCCCUGCCGAGCCCCCUAGUGGUGGACGGUGACAUCUCACCUGGACUGGACUGGAGAGUUGCAUCCAAUCAGGCCUCCCUCCUCUCCACUAAGUGCAUCUGAUUCUGAACACAGAGUUCUUCACGGUAAUUGUCAAUUCUCUGAUGCAAGCCAUUUGUGUGAGUUGUGCAGGACUGCUACACACACGAUGGAUUGUGCCCGAUUUGUGGGCGACAAGCUAUGGCAGCCAUCGAUCAGUUGGGUUCACGUUGGCCGCAGCCAUCGAUUACCAGCUCGUCUGAGCAUCGUCCAACACAUCGUCGUGUGCAUAGUAAUUUCGUUGUGUGAGGCUCCGACAAUAAAACUAUUUUAGAAGACACGGCAAUAUUUUACUAUAUGAAGUGAAAAUGUACAAGUUGUAGAUGGACAAUUAUGGUAGCUCUUCUACACAGUUAUUUAGUGUCCAGCGAGGCCCUCAGAGGAUAUCUAAAGAAGUGAGAAUGUACACCUUGUUUUUCUAGGCGAACAUGACUUGGAUGAGUCAAUAGCAUAGUAGCCGUAGUUAUCUAAAAAAGGCAGUGUCCCAGGCAACAAGGUAAAUUGUUCUGCUGUCCAAUGCAUUGAAGCUAUAGUGCAUAUAUGCUUAGUAAAUUGUUUGGAUUUGUCCGAGACUAAUAAUGACCAACUUAGUGAAUUGUUAAACCUGAAAGUUUGUGUUUUCCAUUUAACAUAGUGAAUUGUUUGCACAAUUCAGUUCCGUGUUGAUUGAAUGGACGUGACGUGAUGUUUUCUCCAGGGAACUGACUGAAGUGGAUUGACAUGGUUUCUGUCCAUGAUGCAGUUAUGUGCUAUUCUUCCUUGCUGCAGUGUUGCGCAUCUUUGCUGCUGUGGCUGACUCCAUGAAUAUGAAAGCUAUAUUUACUCCUAAGCUAUGAGUGUCCUCUAACUUCCUUCCAUGAGAGUAUCCUGUUGAAGUUCUAUCAGCCGACAGGUGCAUUGCACUGUUGAGGAGACACAUGCAUUUGUAUUCGAUAUUGAAGCGAGCCUGACACCCUGAAAGAACUAUACAAUGAUAUUUGGCUAUUGCUUUCAGUAUUAGAGAAGCAUAGAAACAGAACUGCAGGGCUUACUGUAUUUUUAUGUGACAUUCCUCUAUGCCAUCAUGCCAUACUGUUUAUUUUGAGCAACCUUUCUAUGGUAUUUUGUUGGACAGUUUUUAGUGUAAUCUCAAGCACCUCAAUAUAUGGUAAGCAACUGCAUGCUUGGGUAUAUGUUUUAUUCUCAAUGUUGUAUUCCUUUUAUUUGCUCUGUUACUGUAGCAAUCAAAAAGAAUCGGGCACAAGCUCCAGUUAGUCCUGUACAAAAAUUGGUGUAGAAGUGUGAUCUAUGGAUGCCUUAUUUUGUCGAUUCAGACUUGGGAUUGUAGGAAAGUGUGGACUAUGGAUAAAUACCAGAACUGGAUUGACCAUGUCACAUCUUCACCAAGAGUCAUGGCACUGGCAUAUUCAAGCUUUGUUGUUUCCUUCGUUUCCAAGCAACACUCUUAAAGGCAAUAUAUGCAGGUUUAUCAUUCAUGUGAGAGAUACGAAAGAUGAAACAAAAGUAAAAGGUGUUUAUGCUAACGGAGCAUCAUAAUUAGGUAGGAGUGUCUGUUGGUUUUAUAAACCCAGUAUCAUCCUACUACUUGUAGUUUAUGUAUUGCCUGCAAAUAAUACAAUUUUCAAAUGAUAUUUUGUUAUGGUCAUAUAUAAAUAUGUAAAUAUUUAAAAGUUUCAGAGGUUCCUUGAGACGAGA